rnacentral:rRNA from 1 species
UUCCGUAGGGGGUAAUUCGCGCAGGGAUCAUUACCGAGUUUACAACUCCCAAACCCCUGUGAACAUACCACUUGUUGCCUCGGCGGAUCAGCCCGCUCCCGGUAAAACGGGACGGCCCGCCAGAGGACCCCUAAACUCUGUUUCUAUAUGUAACUUCUGAGUAAAACCAUAAAUAAAUCAAAACUUUCAACAACGGAUCUCUUGGUUCUGGCAUCGAUGAAGAACGCAGCAAAAUGCGAUAAGUAAUGUGAAUUGCAGAAUUCAGUGAAUCAUCGAAUCUUUGAACGCACAUUGCGCCCGCCAGUAUUCUGGCGGGCAUGCCUGUUCGAGCGUCAUUUCAACCCUCAAGCACAGCUUGGUGUUGGGACUCGCGUUAAUUCGCGUUCCUCAAAUUGAUUGGCGGUCACGUCGAGCUUCCAUAGCGUAGUAGUAAAACCCUCGUUACUGGUAAUCGUCGCGGCCACGCCGUUAAACCCCAACUUCUGAAUGUGACCUCGAUCAGGUAGAUGCCGGGUCU